UACGUAGGGUCCGAGCGUUAAUCGGAAUUAUUGGGCGUAAAGCGCGCGCAGGUGGUUCCUUAAGUCUGAUGUGAAAGCCCACGGCUCAACCGUGGAGGGUCAUUGGAAACUGGGGGACUUGAGUGCAGAAGAGGAAAGUGGAAUUCCAAGUGUAGCGGUGAAAUGCGUAGAGAUUUGGAGGAACACCAGUGGCGAAGGCGACUUUCUGGUCUGUAACUGACACUGAGGCGCGAAAGCGUGGGGAGCAAACAGG
rnacentral:rRNA from 1 species